AAGACCUUGCGCUUUGGGAGCGGCCGAUGUCUGAUUAGCUAGUUGGUGGGGUAAAGGCCUACCAAGGCGACGAUCAGUAGUUGGUCUGAGAGGACGACCAGCCACACUGGGCCUGAGACACGGCCCAGACUCCUACGGGAGGCAGCAGUGGGGAAUUUUGGACAAUGGGCGCAAGCCUGAUCCAGCAAUGCCGCGUGAGUGAAGAAGGCCUUCGGGUUGUAAAGCUCUUUCAGUCGAGAAGAAAAAGCUGCAGUGAAUAACUGUAGUUCAUGACGGUAUCGACAGAAGAAGCACCGGCUAACUACGUGCCAGCAGCCGCGGUAAUACGUAGGGUGCGAGCGUUAAUCGGAAUUACUGGGCGUAAAGGGUGCGCAGGCGGCUUUGUAAGUCAGAUGUGAAAUCCCCGGGCUUAACCUGGGAAUU
rnacentral:rRNA from 1 species